AGAAGAGAAGCAAGGAACAAAAAUAAUGCCCGGGCAAUUAAUCAGAGUAGACAAAAAAUGAAAGGAAAAUAAGGUCUUCCCCAAAGUGCUCUUCCCGUGGUUUAAAGUAGCCCAAGUGAUGCCCAAUCUGCCACAGCUCCAAGUUAGAGACCUUCUAUUGUUCUGGCAGUACCGAUUGUGAUCAUCUGUUCCCUUCCAGAUCUCCUGCAAGAUGGCUGCUGUUUGGGCUGAAGUUUUAUCCACUGCACACGCAGGCUGAACACAUGGAGAGCACGUCUGGUUUUCAGAAACGUGUCAGAAAGGAAUUUACCCAGCAAGGCAAAGGUGAAGGAGAUGCUGCUUUGCUCAUGCACAAUAAAAUAAAAUAAAAU
rnacentral:lncRNA from 7 species